rnacentral:rRNA from 1 species
UGGGGAAUUUUGGACAAUGGGCGAAAGCCUGAUCCAGCCAUGCCGCGUGAGUGAAGAAGGCCUUCGGGUUGUAAAGCUCUUUUAGUCGGAAAGAAAGAGUCGCAAUGAAUAAUUGUGAUUUAUGACGGUACCGACAGAAAAAGCACCGGCUAACUACGUGCCAGCAGCCGCGGUAAUACGUAGGGUGCGAGCGUUAAUCGGAAUUACUGGGCGUAAAGGGUGCGCAGGCGGUUUUGCAAGUCAGAUGUGAAAGCCCCGGGCUUAACCUGGGAAUUGCGUUUGAAACUACAAGGCUAGAGUGCAGCAGAGGGGAGUGGAAUUCCACGUGUAGCAGUGAAAUGCGUAGAGAUGUGGAAGAACACCGAUGGCGAAGGCAGCUCCCUGGGUUGACACUGACGCUCAUGCACGAAAGCGUGGGGAGCAAACA